rnacentral:misc_RNA from 1 species
AAGUCGUAACAAGGUCUCCGUAGGUGAACCUGCGGAGGGAUCAUUACCGAGCAAGGGCCUCCGCGCCCGACCUCCAACCCAUUGUGAAUCGAAACCUUUGUUGCCUCGGGGGCGACCCGGCCCUCGCGCCGGGGCCCUCGGCGGACCACCAAACGCUGCAUCUGUGCGUCCGAGUCUCGCGGAAAUGAAUCAAAACUUUCAACAACGGAUCUCUUGGUUCUG